CCUACGGGAGGCAGCAGUGAGGAAUAUUGGUCAAUGGGCGCAAGCCUGAACCAGCCAAGUAGCGUGCAGGCUGACGGCCCUACGGGUUGUAAACUUCUUUUAUAAAGGGAUAAAAUGCGCCACGUGUGCCUUUUUGUAUGUACUGUGUGAAUAAGGAUCGGCUAAUUCCGUGCCAGCAGCCGCGGUAAUACGGAGGGUCCGAGCUUUAUCCGGAUUUAUUGGGUUUAAAGGGAGAGUAUAUGGGUUGUUAAAUCAGUUGUGAAAGUUUGCGGCGCAACCGUAAAAUUGCAAUUGAAACUGGCAGCCUUGAGUACAGUGGAGGCAGGCGGAAUUCGUGGUGUAGCGGUGAAAUGCUUAGAUAUCACGAAGAACCCCGAUUGCGAAGGCAGCUUACUAAACUGCCACUGACAGUGAUGCUCGAAAGUGUGGGUAUUAAACAGGAUUAGAUACCCCUGUAGUC
rnacentral:rRNA from 1 species